rnacentral:rRNA from 1 species
UACGAAGGGGGGCUAGCGUUGCUCGGAAUCACUGGGCGUAAAGCGCACGUAGGCGGCUUUUUUAAGUCAGGGGGUGAAAUCCUGGAGCUCAACUCCAGAACUGCCUUUGAUACUGAGGAGCUUGAGUCCGGGAGAGGUGAGUGGAACUGCGAGUGUAGAGGUGAAAUUCGUAGAUAUUCGCAAGAACACCAGUGGCGAAGGCGGCUCACUGGCCCGGUACUGACGCUGAGGUGCGAAAGCGUGGGGAGCAAACAGG